UUGGCGCCAUACCUUCGAGACACUGUUAACGAUGAACUGCGCGACUUCCUUCAUCGCAAGACAUUCAACUUCGUUCGAUAUCUUUGGAAUAAAUGAAUGCUUCGAUUUAAGAUAAUUCUCCCGUGUGAUACAGAAAUAGUUACAGAAUCUGGAACAAUCCUCGAACGCAUAGACACGGUUUGGUAAGAAUUUCGUUGAUAUGCAGCACGACAACGAUAAACGUUCGAUACGUGUGCUAAGCGUGUGCACACUUCUCUCAAGGAUGCAGGGCACAAAGGACAUGGGUUCAAUAAGAGAAUGACAAUGUACUUAUUAGGAUUAGUCAGGACUUGUAAUUCAAUUCAACAGAAACGACGAACAAUUUAUUUUAUUUUCAAUUGUCUUGAUUUUUUGGCCCGAUUCCCAGGU